rnacentral:rRNA from 1 species
CCCGCACAAGCGGCGGAGCAUGUGGAUUAAUUCGAUGCAACGCGAAGAACCUUACCUGGGUUGACAUAUACCGGAAAGCCGUAGAGAUACGGCCCCCCUUGUGGUCGGUAUACAGGUGGUGCAUGGCUGUCGUCAGCUCGUGUCGUGAGAUGUUGGGUUAAGUCCCGCAACGAGCGCAACCCUUGUCCUGUGUUGCCAGCGCGUAAUGGCGGGGACUCGCAGGAGACUGCCGGGGUCAACUCGGAGGAAGGUGGGGACGACGUCAAGUCAUCAUGCCCCUUAUGUCCAGGGCUUCACACAUGCUACAAUGGCCGGUACAGAGGGCUGCGAUACCGUGAGGUGGAGCGAAUCCCUUAAAGCCGGUCUCAGUUCGGAUCGGGGUCUGCAACUCGACCCCGUGAAGUCGGAGUCGCUAGUAAUCGCAGAUCAGCAACGCUGCGGUGAAUACGUUCCCGGGCCUUGUACACACCGCCCG